rnacentral:rRNA from 1 species
AAUAUUGCGCAAUGGGGGGAACCCUGACGCAGCAACGCCGCGUGAAGGAUGAAGGCCUUCGGGUUGUAAACUUCUUUGAUUAGGGACGAAAACAAUGACGGUACCUAAAAAACAAGCCACGGCUAACUACGUGCCAGCAGCCGCGGUAAUACGUAGGGGGCGAGCGUUGUCCGGAAUUACUGGGCGUAAAGGGCGCGUAGGCGGUCUAAUAAGUCAGAUGUGAAAUUCUUGGGCUUAACCCAGGAUGUGCAUUUGAAACUGUUGGACUUGAGGGCAGGAGAGGAAAGCGGAAUUCCCAGUGUAGCGGUGAAAUGCGUAGAUAUUGGGAGGAACACCAGUGGCGAAGGCAGCCCCCUGGGAUAAUACUGACGCUCAGACACGAAAGCGUGGGGAGCAAACAGG